rnacentral:tRNA from 6 species
GGCAAGGUGGCCGAGCGGUCCAAGGCGCCAGGUUAAGGUCCUGGUCAUCGUAAGAUGGCGUGGGUUCGAAUCCCACCCUUGUCA